AAUGAACGUUGGCGGCGUGGAUUAGGCAUGCAAGUCGAGCGAGGAGUAUUGGUAGCAAUACUGGUACAUUCGAGCGGCGUAAGGGGCAGUAAUACCUGGGAACGUACCCGGAGGUCGGGGAUAGCUGCUGGAAACGGCGAGUAAUACCCGAUGAUCUUGGAAAAGCAAAGGCUUGCCGCCUUCGGAGCGGCCCAGGCGAUAUUAGCUAGUUGGUGAGGUAACGGCUUACCAAGGCAAAGAUGUCUAGCGGGUGUGAGAGCACGACCCGCGCCACUGGCACUGAGACACUGGCCAGACACCUACGGGUGGCUGCAGUCGAGAAUCUUCGGCAAUGAGCGCAAGCUUGACCGAGCGACGCCGCGUGCGGGAUGAAGGCC
rnacentral:rRNA from 1 species